AAUAAGAAAUCAAACCCAAUCAAGAUAUCAACCUUACCUCAAACCCUCUGCCGAUUUCUGAUUUAAACCUCAAUCUCAGUUGUACGUUUUCAAAAAUGGUGAGGACCGAGUUGUCUGCGAAGGCAAAGAAUAAAGUAAGUGCAUGCUUAAUGAAGUAGGAACUGUAAAUAAGCAAGAUGAAAAAUUAGAGUCUCUUCAUUUGCAGAGAGACACUUAAAUGGCGAACAGUGGAAUGAUGGACUAUUAUCUACAGUUAGGAAGCGGGUUCACAUGGAGUUAGAAAGAAAAGCAAUGCAGGGGGAUGCUAGCAUGGCAUUGAAUUCUCACUUCCAUGGGAAAAUUACUUAUAGAGCAGGAAAUAAGUGUUUACGUUGGGAUGAGCUAGAAGGGGAUUAUCACAAAGUCUUGGCGAGGUGAUCCCUUGCACUAUUCUCUGCCAGGAACAGGGCAAAUUAGUUCUCAAUAGGAAUCUGCAACAAAUGUCCAGAAUAUAGUUUUCCAAGGGAGGAACAAUUCCCAAAUCCUUAACAUAACGGAAGGAUUUAAGUAAUAGGAGCAGUGCAUUAGCCGAAAUGACUCAAAUCAGUUGGAAAUUGUCCGUUAAUUUAGUCUCCAUUUAGUGUUGCCUUCAUCAUCCUCAAAGAUAUCAACCUUCACAUCACUCAGCACUGGUGGUGGGAGUGUAAACAAUGGUGGAAGCUUCUUUCCAUUACUUUGGAUGGGUGGUAAUAUCAAUGAACAAAGUACCAUGCUUAGUUCAGCUUGGGAUUAACCCACUGGAUUAGGGUCUUCACGUGAGGGUUUUGGACUGCAUAUCAAGAAGGCCCUUAGAGGUGUGAAGGUUGAAGUAACUCAUGGAGGAAGUAUGAGCAGACUUAUGGGUUUUCUAUUCAAUGAACACAUUUUCCCUGUUUGCAAGUUAGAAAUCAACAAAGGCCAAAUCAUAUUUCCAUGGAGGUUUGUAAAAUUGUGGAGGGUCAAAGGUACUCGAAAAG